CUCGCUCGGGCAGACGUGGUCAGGCACGCGGCUUCCAGGCGCUGGCCAGCCUGUCCUUGUCUGUGCCCCGUGGGGUGGGGGUUCUUGAGGUCCUGGGGCUUAGGGUGGCUCGCGUGCGCGCAGGACGGGUGGGUGACAGAACGAAUGAAUGAAUGAAUGGGGUCUAGGCCCGUCCUCCAGAGGCAGCCCGCUGUUCUGUCUCUCCAGAUCGUAGCCUUCACGCCCCCAGGACCAGGGCCAGUUGGAGAGCGAGGAACCAGAGAGGGAUGCACCCACCCAGAAAAACGGCUACUUAUUUUUUUUAAGAGACGGAGUCUCGCUACGUUGCCCAGGCUGGUCUCGAACUCUCAGGCUCGGGCGAUCCUCCCGCCUCAGCCUCCCGAGUAGCUGGGACUACAGGCGCGCACCACAUCAGGGGUAAUUUUUUAAAAAUUUUUUUGAGAGACAGAAUCUAACUAUGUCUCCCAGGCUGGCCUCAGGGGAUCCACCCGCCUCGGCCUCCCAAAGCGUCCGGCUUCUCAAAGCGUUUCAUAGGUUGGCAGCUUUGGCCGCUGCAUGCUACAGACAAAAUGAUGAAAUACUGUUUGCAGUCUGGACGCGUCUACCAGCCCUAGUUACCAACGGGGACGGAAUGAAUUCUCGCUCUUGUCACCCAGGAACUGCGGAGAGAGGUCAUAGAAGAGUUUAACCUUACCUGCAAUGUUCCAUUUCUUUUUUAAAAAAUGGUAAUCAGGGCCGGGCACGGUGGCUCACGCCUGUAAUCCCAGCACUUUGGGAGGCCAAGGCGGGCAGAUCACGAGGUCAGGAGAUCGAGACCAUCCUGGCUAAACCGGUGAAACCCCGUCUCUACUAAAAAUACAAAAAAUUAGCUGGGCGUGGUGGCGGGUGCCUGUAGUCCCAGCUACUCGGGAGGCUGAGGCAGGAGAAUGGCGUGAACCCGGGAGGUGGAGCUUACAGUGAGCAGAGAUCGCACCACUGCACUCCAGCGUGGGCGACAGAGCAAAACUCCAUCUAAUCAGGCUGGGUGCAGUGACUCACGCCUGUAAUCCGAGCACUUUGGGAGGCCAAGGCAGAUGGAUCACUUGAGCUCAGGAGUUUAGGACCAGCCUGGGCAACAUGGUGAAACCCAUGUCUCUAAAAAAAAAACAAGAAAGAAAAUUAAUUUUAAAAAUGGUAAUCAAAGCAAGGUGACAAUAUAUUAACCAUUUGUAUAAUUCUGGGUGAUGAGAACAUCAGUGUUUAUACCUUUUGGCGUUUUUUCCCCUACAAGAAUCCAGUCGAGGAUUGCAUGUUA
rnacentral:lncRNA from 10 species